GGCGCUACGGCACACUGGUUAAUGUGUCUAGUUUUAAACUAGAGGAUACAGGUUCAAGGCCUGUUGUUGCUA
rnacentral:tRNA from 1 species